rnacentral:rRNA from 1 species
UACGAAGGGUGCAAGCGUUACUCGGAAUUACUGGGCGUAAAGCGUGCGUAGGCGGUUUGUUAAGUCCGUUGUGAAAGCCCUGGGCUCAACCUGGGAAUUGCAGUGGAUACUGGCGAGCUAGAGUGCGGUAGAGGAUGGUGGAAUUCCCGGUGUAGCGGUGAAAUGCGUAGAGAUCGGGAGGAACACCUGUGGCGAAGGCGGCCAUCUGGACCAGCACUGACGCUGAGGCACGAAAGCGUGGGGAGCAAACAGG